GAUUAUAUCCGUAAAGUCUGUUCAGGUGAGGAUAUACUGAAGAAAGCUUGCAAGGCUGCUAAGGAGCAGUUAGGAAGAGCUGAAUAUAGGCUUAUUGAGCGCCAGCAAAGGUGGGAAGAUAUAUCCGUAAAGUCUGUUCAGGUGAGGAUAUACUGAAGAAAGCUUGCAAGGCUGCUAAGGAGCAGUUAGGAAGAGCUGAAUAUAGGCUUAUUGAGCGCCAGCAAAGGUGGG
rnacentral:lncRNA from 1 species